GACGAACGCUGGCGGCGUGCCUAAUACAUGCAAGUUGAGCGAUGAAGAUUGGUGCUUGCACCCAUUUGAAGAGCAGCGAACGGGUGAGUAACGCGUGGGGAAUCUGCCUUUGAGCGGGGGACAACAUUUGGAAACGAAUGCUAAUACCGCAUAAUAACUUUAAACAUAAGUUUUAAGUUUGAAAGAUGCAAUUGCAUCACUCAAAGAUGAUCCCGCGUUGUAUUAGCUAGUUGGUGAGGUAAAGGCUCACCAAGGCGAUGAUACAUAGCCGACCUGAGAGGGUGAUCGGCCACAUUGGGACUGAGACACGGCCCAAACUCCUACGGGAGGCAGCAGUAGGGAAUCUUCGGCAAUGGACGAAAGUCUGACCGAGCAACGCCGCGUGAGUGAAGAAGGGUUUCGGAUCGUAAAACUCUGUUGGUAGAGAAGAACGUUGGUGAGAGUGGAAAGCUCAUCAAGUGACGGUAACUACCCAGAAAGGGACGGCUAACUACGUG
rnacentral:rRNA from 1 species